CCUGGCUCAGGAUGAAYGCUGGCGGUCUGCUUAACACAUGCAAGUCGAAYGGAGUGCUUCGGCACUUAGUGGCGGACGGGUGAGUAACGCGUGAGAAUCUGYCCUUAGGACGGGGACAACAGCUGGAAACGGCUGCUAAUACCCGAUGUGCCGAGAGGUGAAACAUUUUAUGGCCUGAGGAUGAGCUNGCGUCUGAUUAGCUAGUUNGUGGGGUAAGGGCCUACCAAGGCNACGAUCAGUAGCUGGUCUGAGAGGAUGAUCAGCCACACUGGGACUGAGACACGGCCCAGACUCCUACGGGAGGCAGCAGUGGGGAAUUUUCCGCAAUGGGCGCAAGCCUGACGGAGCAAGACCGCGNGCGGGAGGACGGCCUAUUGGUUGUAAACCGCUUUUGAUAGGGAAGAAGCACUGACGGUACCUAUCGAAUCAGCAUCGGCUAACUCCGUGCCAGCAGCCGCGGUAAUACGGAGGAUGCAAGCGUUAUCCGGAAUUAUUGGGCGUAAAGCGUCCGUAGGUGGUUGUUCAAGUCUGCUGUUAAAGCGUGCGGCUUAACCGCAUACCAGCAGUGGAAACUGGGCGACUAGAGUGCGGUAGGGGUCAGGGGAAUUCCCAGUGUAGCGGUGAAAUGCGUAGAUAUUGGGAAGAACACCGGUGGCGAAAGCGCCUGACUGGACCUGCACUGACACUGAGGGACGAAAGCUAGGGGAGCGAAAGGGAUUAGAUACCCCUGUAGUCCUAGCCGUAAACGAUGGACACUAGGUGUUGCCCGUAUCGACCCGGGCAGUGCCGUAGCCAACGCGUUAAGUGUCCCGCCUGGGGAGUACGCUCGCAAGAGUGAAACUCAAAGGAAUUGANNNNNNCCCGCACAAGCGNUGGAGUAUGUGGUUUAAUUCGAUGCAACGCGAAGAACCUUACCAGGGCUUGACAUGUCCAGAACCCUCCUGAAAGGGAGGGGUGCCUUCGGGAACUGGAGUACAGGUGGUGCAUGGCUGUCGUCAGCUCGUGUCGUGAGAUGUUGGGUUAAGUCCCGCAACGAGCGCAACCCUCGUUUUUAGUUGCCAUCAUUCAGUUGGGCACUCUAGAGAGACUGCCGGUGACAAACNGGANNAAGGUNGGGAUGACGUCAAGUCAGCAUGCCCCUUACGUCCUGGGCUACACACGUACUACAAUGCUGCGGACAAAGGGUUGCAAGCUCGCGAGACGAAGCUAAUCCCAUAAACCGUGGCUCAGUUCAGAUUGCAGGCUGCAACUCGCCUGCAUGAAGGAGGAAUCGCUAGUAAUCGCAGGUCAGCAUACUGCNGUGAAUACNUUCCCNNNCCUUG
rnacentral:rRNA from 1 species